UAGUCCACGCCGUAAACGAUGUCUACUAGUUGUUGGGACCCUUGAGGUUUUAGUGACGCAGCUAACGCAUUAAGUAGACCGCCUGGGGAGUACGGUCGCAAGAUUAAAACUCAAAUGAAUUGACGGGGGCCCGCACAAGCGGUGGAGCAUGUGGUUUAAUUCGAAGCAACGCGAAGAACCUUACCUACUCUUGACAUCCUGAUAAUUCGCUAGAGAUAGCUUAGUGCCUUCGGGAAAUCAGUGACAGGUGCUGCAUGGCUGUCGUCAGCUCGUGUCGUGAGAUGUUGGGUUAAGUCCCGUAACGAGCGCAACCCUUGUCCUUAGUUGCCAGCACGUAAUGGUGGGAACUCUAAGGAGACUGCCGGUGACAAACCGGAGAAGGUAAGGAUGACGUCAAGUCAGCAUGCCCCUUAGCCCUGGGCUACACACGUGCUACAAUGGUCGUGACAAAGGGUCGCUAAUCUGCAAAGACAUGCUAAUCUCAUAAACACGGCCUCAGUUCGGAUUG
rnacentral:rRNA from 1 species